UAUGAAGUGAGAUAAGGGCGUUCGGUGGAUGCCUUGGCGCUAAGAGGCGAUGAAGGACGUGGCACGCUGCGAAAAGCCGCGGGGAGAUGCGAGCGAUCGUUGAUCCGCGGAUGUCCGAAUGGGGAAACCCACCCUUUCGAGGGUAUCCAGUUCUGAAUACAUAGGGGCUGGAGGCGAACCCGGGGAACUGAAACAUCUAAGUACCCGGAGGAAAAGACAUCAACAGAGAUUCCGCUAGUAGUGGCGAGCGAAAGCGGAUCAGGCCAGUGGUUUUUGAGAGAGAAGCUGAACGGCCUGGAAAGGCCGGCCGUAGUGGGUGAUAGCCCCGUAGGCGUAGAGCUCUUGAAAAUCCUUGAGUAGGGCGGGGCACGUGAAACCCUGUCUGAACAUGGGGGGACCACCCUCCAAGCCUAAAUACUCCUUAGCGACCGAUAGUGUACAAGUACCGUGAGGGAAAGGUGAAAAGCACCCCGACGAGGGGAGUGAAAGAGACCUGAAACCGGACGCUUACAAGCAGUCGGAGCUCGCAAGAGUGACGGCGUACCUUUUGUAUAAUGGGUCCGCGAGUUCGUGUUGGCAGCAAGCUUAAGCCGAGAGGUGUAGGCGCAGCGAAAGCGAGUCUGAAUAGGGCGCAUAGUUGCCGGCAUGAGACCCGAAACCUGGUGAUCUAGCCAUGGACAGGCUGAAGGUGGGGUAACACCCACUGGAGGGCCGAACCCACGCCUGUUGAAAAAGUCGGGGAUGAUCUGUGGCUAGGGGUGAAAGGCCAAUCAAACCAGGAAAUAGCUGGUUCUCCGCGAAAUCUAUUGAGGUAGAUCGUUCGUUGAUCACCCUCGGAGGUAGAGCACCGGAAGGGCUAGGGGGGCCCAAAGCCCUACCAAACCCUACCGAACUCCGAAUGCCGAGGAGUGCAGACGGGCAGACAGACAGUGGGUGCUAAGGUCCAUUGUCGAGAGGGAAACAACCCAGACCAUCAGCUAAGGCCCCCAAAUCGUGGCUAAGUGGGAAAGCAUGUGAGACGGCCAAAACAACCAGGAGGUUGGCUUAGAAGCAGCCAUCCUUUAAAGAAAGCGUAAUAGCUCACUGGUCUAAUAGCUAUCUUGCGGCGAAAAUGUACCGGGGCUCAAGCCACGUGCCGAAGCUAUGGGUGUUUGAAAGAACGCGGUAGCGGAGCGUUCUCUAGGCCUGUGAAGCCGUACCUGUGAGGGGCGGUGGAGGUAUGAGAAGUGCGAAUGCGGACAUGAGUAGCGACAAACAGGGUGAGAAACCCUGUCGCCGAAAGUCCAAGGGUUCCUGCGCAAGGUUAAUCCGCGCAGGGUGAGCCGGCCCCUAAGGCGAGGGCGAGAGCCGUAGCCGAUGGGAACCAGGUGAAUAUUCCUGGGCCCGCCAGAAGUGACGGCCAUGAAACAUUGUCAUCCCUUACUGGAUUGGGGUGGCAGUUGGAUUGGUCCGGGAAAUAGCUCUGGCAUAUGGACCGUACCCGAAACCGACACAGGUGGACUGGAUGAGUAUUCCAAGGCGCUUGAGAGAACCAUAUCGAAGGAACUAGGCAAAUUACCCGCGUAAGUUAGCGAUAAGCGGGACCCAUCCUUGGGCAACCAGGGGUGGGUGGCACAGACCAGGGGGUGGCGACUGUUUAGUAAAAACACAGGGCUCUGCGAAGUCGAGAGACGACGUAUAGGGUCUGACGCCUGCCCGGUGCCGGAAGGUCAAGGGGAGAUGUGCAAGCAUCGAACCGAAGCCCCGGUAAACGGCGGCCGUAACUAUAACGGUCCUAAGGUAGCGAAAUUCCUUGUCGGGUAAGUUCC
rnacentral:rRNA from 1 species